rfam:Rattus norvegicus chromosome X, whole genome shotgun sequence.
GGAAUUUAGCUCAGUGGUAGAGCGCUUGCCUAGGAAGCGCAAGGCCCUGGGUUCGAUCCCCAGCUCCG